rnacentral:tRNA from 1 species
CGCAGAAUCAGCUCAGUUGGGAGAGCCUUAGACUAUAAAUCGAAAAGUCCCUGGCUCAAUUCCGGGUUUCGUCA